rnacentral:rRNA from 1 species
UGCCCCGAUGACCGGGACAACCCCGAGGGAAACUCGGGCUAAUACCGGAUGUGCUCUCGAGCCUUCAGGCCCGCGAGCAAGGAAGCCUCGGCCUCCGCAUCGGGAGUGGGCCCGCGGCCCAUUAGCUUGUUGGUGGGGAUAACGGCCCACCAAGGCGACGAUGGGUAGCUGGUCUGAGAGGACGAUCAGCCACACUGGGACUGAGACACGGCCCAG